AAAGUCGUAACAAGGUUUCCGUAGGUGAACCUGCGGAAGGAUCAUUACAAAUCUGGAGGUGGUGAGAGAGGGGGUUGGUGGGGGGUGUAGGGUUUAGGGGAGAGACUUGGAGAGUGGAAACUUUCCAGAGUGUCGCCUCUGCCUCCUCACGCCUCCUCCCCCGUCUUGCCACACAUUGGCACGGAGCCGCAAGGCUCUGAUGUUUACGCUUGUUUGUUUGACAGAGUUAUACAGUGACUAGAAUAAUGACAACUUUUAACAAUGGAUCUCUUGGCUCUU
rnacentral:misc_RNA from 1 species